rnacentral:rRNA from 1 species
GAAAUGACUCUCGGCAACGGAUAUCUUAGCUCUCGUUACGAUGAAGAACGUAGCAAAAUGCAAUACUUAGUGUGAAUUGCAGAAUCCCGUGAAUCAUCGAGUUUUUGAAUGUAAUUUGUGCCUGAGACCUCGGUCGAGGGCACGUUUGUCUGGGCGUCGCAU